CCCUUCCUGCUUCCAAACUUUAUUACACAGAUUCAGAAAAUGUUUAUUUUAUGCCAUCCCCAAGUCAAAGAAUGUAUUGCCAUGCUUCUCGGUGAUGAGUUAUUAAACAUAUUAAUGUUGCCAAGUCAAGUUUACUUACAGUUACAAUGACUUCACAAGUGACAAAUGCAUAUGCCAGAAUUAUAAGAAUCAAGAGUGAAUAGGGGAAAAAAACAAUGUUUAAAAUAUAGCUUUAUCAAAUGAGUUAAAUGAUUUAUUAGAUUUAUUCAACAGGCUAUCCUGUUAAAAUUUGAGUCUGUGUGUAAAAAUAUAAUCAGAAAGAACUAAAAAAACCAGGCCUAGCAAAUGACAUCAAUACAAAGGAUUUCUAAAAUCUUUAU
rnacentral:lncRNA from 1 species